UGGGGAAUAUUGCACAAUGGGCGAAAGCCUGAUGCAGCAACGCCGCGUGAGUGAUGAAGGCCUUCGGGUUGUAAAGCUCUGUCUUCUGGGACGAUAAUGACGGUACCAGAGGAGGAAGCCACGGCUAACUACGUGCCAGCAGCCGCGGUAAUACGUAGGGGGCAAGCGUUGUCCGGAUUUACUGGGUGUAAAGGGUGCUCAGGCGGAUUUGUAAGUCAGAGGUGAAAUCUUACAGCUUAACUGUGAAACUGCCUUUGAUACUGCAAGCCUAGAGUAUGGAAGAGAGUGAUGGAAUAUCUGGUGUAGCAGUGAAAUGCGUAGAUAGCAGAUAGAACACCAAUGGCGAAGGCAGUCACUUGGUCCAUUACUGACGCUAAAGCACGAAAGCGUGGGUAGCAAACA
rnacentral:rRNA from 1 species